rnacentral:tRNA from 1 species
AAAAAAUUAGUUAAUUAAUAACAUAAAUUUGUCAAAUUUAAAUAAUUUAAUUCAUUAAAUAUUUUUUA